UACGUAGGGGGGCAAGCGUUGUCCGGAUUUAUUGGGCGUAAAGAGCGUGUAGGCGGCCGUACAGGUCAGCUGUGAAAACUCGAGGCUCAACCUCGAGACGUCGGUUGAAACCGUACGGCUAGAGUCCGGAAGAGGAGAGUGGAAUUCCCGGUGUAGCGGUGAAAAUGCGCAGAUAUCGGGGAAGAACACCCCGUGGCGAAGGCGGCUCUCUGGGACGGUACUGACGCUGAGACGCGAAAAGCGUGGGGGAGCGAACAGG
rnacentral:rRNA from 1 species